AUGGUGCAGCGCGGCGACCAAUGGGCAGCGGCGGGGCCUAGCGGCGCGGGCCAAUGGUGGCGGCGGACGGUCCCGCGGUCCUGCCCGGCCCGGGCCGCACUGCGCCGCCAGCCUCCAGUCAGCCCGCCCGCCCGCCCGCCCGCCCGCCGCCGGCGUCCGCACCGCCGCCCAGCGAUCACGCCGCGGCGGCUCAGAGCGCGGCUGCGGCGGGCGGCGGCGGCGGCUCUCUCCCGUCCGUCAGUCCUGGGACCUUCGCUUCCACGCCUUCCCGCAGAGGGACAGCGCGCUCUCCCGCCCGCAACGGGGGCGGGGACGCCAGGCCCGCGACCCGUAGUCCCCCACGAUGAGGAAGCUGAAGCUCAGAGAAGGAAAGUGAUAUACCCACGUCUGCAGAACUAGGUGAUCCGAUCGCUGUGCUGGAAGCAGGUGGUGGGCGGCGGAGCCCAUGCAGUGAAUCCC
rnacentral:lncRNA from 1 species